rnacentral:rRNA from 1 species
AUUGAACGCUGGCGGUAUGCUUAACACAUGCAAGUCGAACGGUAACAGGCCUUCGGGCGCUGACGAGUGGCGAACGGGUGAGUAACGCGUAGGUGAUCUACCUUCAAGUGGGGGACAACCCAGGGAAACUUGGGCUAAUACCGCAUGUGUCCGUAAGGAUAAAGCCGGCCUCUGAAAAUGCUGGUGCUUGGAGCUGAGCCUGCGUCUGAUUAGCUAGUUGGUGGGUAACGGCCUACCUAGGCGAUGAUAAGUAGGCGGCUUUAACGAGUGGUCGCCCACACUGGGAUUGAGAUACGGCCCAGACUCCUACGGGAGGCA